ACAAAUGGUCGUUGUAAGUCAAAACAACCUUGCGUCCAAUGGAGCAGAACCUUGAACGAAGACCUUGCUGACAACACUGGCCUCCAGACAGCUUUCAAUGCAUAUGCCAAAGUACUUGAAGAAGAAUGUGGAGGGCAAGACACUCGUCUAACAGGCCUAGAAGAAUACAGCGGAACGCAGCUGUUCUUCAUUUCGCGUGCUAUGACUUUGUGCAAAACAGCAGACAAGUAUUCCCUCAUCGAAGAGAUAAGAAGGGUAAUAUUCAGCUCUGCGCAAAACAGG
rnacentral:lncRNA from 1 species